GGGCCCAUAGCUCAGCUGGGAGAGCGCAUGAAUGGCAUUCAUGAGGUCAGGAGUUCGAUCCUCCUUGGGUCCACGA
rnacentral:tRNA from 1 species